rnacentral:lncRNA from 1 species
CCGGCUAGCCAAUCGUGAUAGAUUGAGAUUGCUUUCUGAGCAGCUACAGGAGGCAUGUUGGUGAUGAAAUGAAAAAUUCUGGCAUUAUGCUCUUUCCAUAGGCUUCAAACCAAGGUGAUAAGUAAGCAUUCAAGAGCAGGAUAUAGUGAACGAACUUGAGAAGAAUGUCUCCAAGAAACCCACACAUCUGUGAAGAAUUGAGGG